rnacentral:rRNA from 1 species
UACGGAGGGUGCGAGCGUUGUUCGGAAUCACUGGGCGUAAAGGGCGUGUAGGCGGUCCGCUAAGUCUGAUGUGAAAGCCCGGGGCUCACCCCCGGAAGUGCAUUGGAAACUGGCGAACUCGAGUCCCGGAGAGGAGAGUGGAAUUCCUGGUGUAGCGGUGAAAUGCGUAGAUAUCAGGAGGAACACCGGUGGCGAAGGCGGCUCUCUGGACGGUGACUGACGCUGAGACGCGAAAGCAUGGGGAGCAAACAGG